rnacentral:tRNA from 1 species
GAAGGUAGAGCUCAGGGACAGAGUGUGUGCUUGGCAUGCACGAGGUCCUGGGUUUCGAUCCCCUGUGCCUCCG